rnacentral:rRNA from 1 species
UACGUAGGGGGCUAGCGUUGUCCGGAAUCAUUGGGCGUAAAGCGCGCGUAGGCGGCCCGGUAAGUCCGCUCUGAAAGUCCAGGGCUCAACCCUGGAAAGCGGGUGGAUACUGCCGGGCUAGAAUCCGGAAGAGGCGAGUGGAAUUCCUGGUGUAGCGGUGGAAUGCGUAGAUAUCUGGAGGAACACCGGUGGCGAAGGCGGCGUCCUGGACCAACACUGACACUGAUGAGCGAAAGCCAGGGGAGCAAACGGG